GAUUUAAACAGCUUGCAAUGCCACAGCAGCUUCAGUAAGCAUAUCAGCAUAUCAACAUAGGGUAAUCAAGUACAUGGCAUAUGAAAAUUCUGCACAUUUAAAGUCAUUGCUGCCGCCCAGGAAUAAUGGGAGUUUGAGCGCAGGACUAGUUUCUUUGUAUUUGUAUUCACUUUUGUAUCACACAGCUAGGUUGCAAUGCUCCUGCCCAUCCCAUGUGUUCCCUAUUAAUGGUUAAUAAGCGUGCAGGGAUGUAUAUAAAAAAUACCCCUUUCUGUCUCAUUAGAGAUAUUUUUGCCAGAAGCUCAAGGAAGCAAGGCGAAUGGUUAGCGUUAGGACCCACCUAAGAGGUCUGCCUUGACGUGGCAGGUGGGCAUACCCUCUCAUGGCCAUUGGAGGUAACUAAAAACCUCUAUUUGUUUAAAAAUACAUAGGAAUGUGAAAAGAGCGCAGGUAACUUUUUUUUCUUUGGUUUUUACUAUAUGUAUUUUGGCUGAUGUGUACUAUAGUCAUUGCUGAUGCCCAGGAGCAAUGGGAGUUUGAGCGCAGGACUAGUUUCUUUGUAUUUGAAAAAUAAGAGAAAUCACACUCUAUAAAGGGUUAGCAUGUUGGGCUGUAUUGUGCAUUGAGAGUCUCCACAUGGCAGUCAGCCUAUCCCCUCAACUGGCAUUGUAAAGUCCCAUAUAGCUUGAGUUUGCAGGCUGUGUACUGAAGAUGGCAACGUUGGGGUUGGUGGCUGCAGGUGCUUACCACUUUCCUCUCUCCUUCCCCACCUCUCUGCCUUGAUGGGCUUGGAGGGAUGCAGUUUCAGUGACCGCCGAUGUAUUGCUUUACUUCUGGUACACCAGUGUGACUUUCGUUGCCUCGAGUGCAUUGGGCCCAUGGUGGGGACUGCCUUAUUUAUCAGGAUGCGGUUUGGGUACCGUGUGGAAGGAAACUCUUCUGCUUCAUAUAGGGUCAUUUUACUUUCCAGCUUUUUCCAGAAUGCUUCAAAGAGAGCAUCUAGUCUUUGGAGAAUAGUGCUCUUCUCUCUUCCUAGCGAUGGUGUAC